AGGCCUUUAAUUACGGCGAGUGAAGCGGCAAAAGCUCAAAUUUGAAAUCUGGCACCUUUGGCGCCCGAGUUGUUUUUUGGAUAGAUUUCUUUGGGACUGUCCCUUGCCUAUGUUCCUUGGAACAGGACGUCAUGGAGGAUGAAAAUCCCGUGUGACGAGGGUCCCAGGUCUUUCAACGGGCGCUCCAAAAUUCUAGUUGUUGGGGAAUGCACCUCUAGGUGGGUGGAACUUCCAUCUAAAGCUAAAUAUUGGCGAAAAACCGAUAGCGAACAAGUACGGUGAAGGAAAAAAUGAAAAGAACUUUGAAAAAAAGAGUGAAAAAAGUACUGGAAAUUGUUAAAAGGAAAGGGCCUGAGAUCAAAAUUGGUGUUUUGUGACCCUCGUCCUCCGUGGGCUUGGCUCUCUCACUUCUCACUGCGCCUCCUGCUGUUUUGGCAGGCGUACUGGACCUUGGAACUGUC
rnacentral:rRNA from 1 species